rnacentral:rRNA from 1 species
GACGAACGCUGGCGGCGUGCCUAAUACAUGCAAGUCGAGCGGAAGUUGGAGAGCUUGCUCUUCAACUUUAGCGGCGGACGGGUGAGUAACACGUGGGCAACCUGCCCUGCAGAUCGGGAUAACUCCGGGAAACCGGUGCUAAUACCGAAUAGUUUUCGCCACCUCCUGGUGGCGUACGGAAAGACGGUUUCGGCUGUCACUGCAGGAUGGGCCAGCGGCGCAUUAGCUAGUUGGUGGGGUAACGGCCCACCAAGGCGACGAUGCGUAGCCGACCUGAGAGGGUGAUCGGCCACACUGGGACUGAGACACGGCCCAGACUCCUACGGGAGGCAGCAGUAGGGAAUCUUCCGCAAUGGACGAAAGUCUGACGGAGUAACGCCGCGUGAGUGACGAAGGUUUUCGGAUCGUAAAACUCUGUUGUGAGGGAAGAACAAGUACCACUUAACUACUGGUACCUUGACGGUACCUCACCAGAAAGCCACGGCUAACUACGUGCCAGCCGCCGCAGUAA